GACAAUGGGGUGGGUCACUCGCCUCGUGCGUCGAUGAAGAGCUCGGUUAUCCGCGUGAACUGAUACGAAGUGCCGGGCUCAGUGAACAUCAACACCUUGAACCACAUUACGGCCCGGGAUCCAAUCAAACCGGGUCGAGAGGUU
rnacentral:rRNA from 1 species